rnacentral:rRNA from 1 species
ACGGGGCGCAGCAGGCGCGAAAACUUUGCAAUGUGCGAAAGCACGACAAGGUUAAUCCGAGUGAUUUCUGCUAAAGAAAUCUUUUGCAAGUCAUAAAACCACUAGUGAAUAAGGGGUGGGCAAGUUCUGGUGUCAGCCGCCGCGGUAAAACCAGCACCUCAAGUGGUCAGGAGGAUUAUUGGGCCUAAAGCAUCCGUAGCCGGCUCUGUAAGUUUUCGGUUAAAUCCAUGUGCUCAACGCAUGGGCUGCCGAAAAUACUGCAUAGCUAGGGAGUGGGAGAGGUAGACGGUACUCGGUAGGAAGGGGUAAAAUCCUUUGAUCUAUCGAUGACCACCUGUGGCGAAGGCGGUCUACCAGAACACGUUCGACGGUGAGGGAUGAAAGCUGGGGGAGCAAACCGGAUUAGAUACCCGGGUAGUCCCAGCUGUAAACGAUGCAGACUCGAUGAUGCAUUGGCAUAUAGCCAGUGCAGUGUCGCAGGGAAGCCGUUAAGUCUGCCGCCUGGGAAGUACGUACGCAAGUAUGAAACUUAAAGGAAUUGGCGGGGGAGCAC